GACGAACGCUGGCGGCGUGCCUAAUACAUGCAAGUUGAGCGCUGAAGGUUGGUACUUGUACCCACUGGAUGAGCAGCGAACGGGUGAGUAACGCGUGGGGAAUCUGCCUUUGAGCGGGGGACAACAUUUGGAAACGAAUGCUAAUACCGCAUAAAAACUUUAAACACAAGUUUUAAGUUUGAAAGAUGCAAUUGCAUCACUCAAAGAUGAUCCCGCGUUGUAUUAGCUAGUUGGUGAGGUAAAGGCUCACCAAGGCGAUGAUACAUAGCCGACCUGAGAGGGUGAUCGGCCACAUUGGGACUGAGACACGGCCCAAACUCCUACGGGAGGCAGCAGUAGGGAAUCUUCGGCAAUGGACGAAAGUCUGACCGAGCAACGCCGCGUGAGUGAAGAAGGGUUUCGGAUCGGAAAACUCUGUUGGUAGAGAAGAACGUUGGUGAGAGUGGAAAGCUCAUCAAGUGACGGUAACUACCCAGAAAGGGACGGCUAACUACGUG
rnacentral:rRNA from 1 species